rnacentral:rRNA from 1 species
GGCUGUAACCGGCUUGUUAUUAAUUCGGACAAUAUGGUAGUAAUCAAUACAAUGAAGAAAGGAGGUCAGUCUGUAGGAGUUGCGGCGAUAGUUUUUGAUCAUUGCUAUUUCCUGGCUUGUGAUUUUCCCCUUAGUAGUUUCGAACAUUGUAAUAGGGAGGCAAAUAAUGUUGCUCAUGAACUUGCUAGAUUAGCGAAAUGUUCAGAUUGUAGGGAUUGGUUUGAGGAGCCUAUGGAUGAGAUUGUACCUUUUUUCAUAGACGAUGUACCCAUUAUUUCUAAUUAA